UUGCGAAGGCAGCUCACUGGACUGCAACUGACACUGAUGCUCGAAAGUGUGGGUAUCAAACAGGAUUAGAUACCCUGGUAGUCCACACAGUAAACGAUGAAUACUCGCUGUUUGCGAUAUACAGUAAGCGGCCAAGCGAAAGCAUUAAGUAUUCCACCUGGGGAGUACGCCGGCAACGGUGAAACUCAAAGGAAUUGACGGGGGCCCGCACAAGCGGAGGAACAUGUGGUUUAAUUCGAUGAUACGCGAGGAACCUUACCCGGGCUUAAAUUGCAGUGGAAUGAUGUGGAAACAUGUCAGUGAGCAAUCACCGCUGUGAAGGUGCUGCAUGGUUGUCGUCAGCUCGUGCCGUGAGGUGUCGGUUUAAGUGCCAUAACGAGCGCAACCCUUAUCUUUAGUUACUAGCAGGUUAUGCUGAAGACUCUAGAGAGACUGCCGUCGUAAGAUGUGAGGAAGGUGGGGAUGACGUCAAAUCAGCACGGCCCUUACGUCCGGGGCUACACACGUGUUACAAUGGGGGGUACAGAAGGCAGCUAGCGGGUGACCGUAUGCUAAUCCCAAAAUCCUCUCUCAGUUCGGAUCGAAGUCUGCAACCCGACUUCGUGAAGCUGGAUUCGCUAGUAAUCGCGCAUCAGCCACGGCGCGGUGAAUACGUUCCCGGGCCUUGUACACACCGCCCGUCAAGCCAUGGGAGCCGGGGGUACCUGAAGUACGUAACCGCAAGGAUCGUCCUAGGGUAA
rnacentral:rRNA from 1 species